rnacentral:lncRNA from 1 species
CAAACGGGCUCGUUAGUGUGGUGUUUUGAUUAGCGCUCUUCCAAAUCACUUUGAAUGUUCUCUAAGACUAUGCAUAACUCAAGCCCUUCUACAAAGAAAACAAACGAAAGCUCUUAGAUGUGUUCUGUUUAACAGGUUUUAAAGAGAAAGCAGCCACAUCUCUCUGCACUCGGGGAUUUGAGGGGAGCAAGAGCGUGCCCGGUCCCUGCUGUGUUGUGUGGCGGACAGUCAAUGUCUUCACUUCUCCCACCUCAGGAUGUAUCUACACAUUCCGGCGAGAGCGUGGACGCCCUACCCGAGCCUCCAAGGCUCUCUGCCCUCAUUCAGCCCAGUGAGCCUGCCCUUCGUCCAACUCCUUUCACCUUCAAUGACCCGACUGUUGCUCAAACCUGACUGCAUCUCUGGUCUUCCUGACUUGCCCUCUGGUACACUCCAACACAGUGGUCUAUUUCAAUGAACCUUCUAAUGAGGACAAGAACACAGCCUUAGCCUUGCAUGACUAAUAACUACUGACUGCUUACUGAUAAUGCACAACAAUUGUUAAUACGGUGCACUAUGAAAAGAUCCGUAAGACAUGAUCAUAGAGAACAAGAUGACAAUACCUUUUGUUUUCUGGGCAUUUCGUGAUUUGGAUCCACUUGUCAUUGCAGUUGGAAGAGGAAUCUUGCUUGGGAGAUUUCUACGUUGCUUACUUUCCAAAGGGGGAGUAUAUGGUAGUUCUAAUGAACUGAAAGACAAUCAGGGAUGGAAAAUACAAAUUUAUUCCUCUGUUUUGGAGGACAGAAGUCAUUAAGAUUGUAAUUCUUCUACAAUACAACUGCAUGCAGGAAGCUAAUGUGGCUUCCUGGGGCGUUAUCUACCCUUGGUCCUAACUCAGGACUGGCUGCAUGCCCAACGCUGUAGCUAAGACUGCCCAGCAGACAUUCAGCACUUGCAGACUGAACCUUUGCUAUUCCAAGUGCUGACAAUGAACUGAGGUCCAUUAUUUAAUAAUACGUAACGUGAGGGAGGAUCUAUCUCAGAUAAGGCAUAGAAAGAAAGCCCUUAGCUCCAACUUGCUGCUCAGGGCUGGAAGUGCGGUCAUUCUGCCUGUGAGUCUCUCCCAGCAUCUAGACCACCACCAGUGGGAUUCCUGAACAUGAAGAUUUUGAAAGAUCUCACAUCUAUAACAUUAGAGACUCCACUAUUCAAAACUGAACAAAUUUUUCUCAUAGAAAUUAUGAGGUGACCCAGAGCUAAGUUCCUGGUUACUACAGGGAGUGGGCUAGGAUGAAUUUUCUUCCUUAUUCUUGAACUCAGGGUUAAUCUUAAGCAAAAAAAUUAAAUAUAUUUUUUAUUGAUUUA